rnacentral:rRNA from 1 species
UACGGAGGGUGCAAGCGUUGUCCGGAAUCACUGGGCGUAAAGGGCGCGUAGGCGGCCUGGUAAGUAGGGGGUGAAAUCCUGCGGCUUAACCGCAGGGCUGCCUUCUAAACUGUCAGGCUUGAGCACGGUAGAGGCAGAUGGAAUUCCCGGUGUAGCGGUGGAAUGCGUAGAGAUCGGGAAGAACAUCAGUGGCGAAGGCGGUCUGCUGGGCCGUUGCUGACGCUGAGGCGCGAACAGCGUGGGGAGCAAACAGG